GGGGCUGGAGCGUGGCUCUGGCAGGUUUGCCGUGGGCUGAAGGGGCAGAGCAGACUGGGGUUGUGGGGCAGGAGGAGGGCAGCUGGUUCCCCUUGCCUCAAGGUGGGUAGCAGGGUGUUGUGGGCCUCUCCUGGCCCUCUGCACCUCAUGCCCUCUGUGGUUUAGCUCUCAGUUCUCUCCUUCAUCCUUCUCUUCUCCCUCUCACUGCCUCUCUGGUGCCUCCUUCCCCCCUCUCUCUGUGCUCCCUUGCUCUCUCUGUGCCUCUUCACUCUCUGUUUGGUCUCUCCUCUCUGCCCUGCUCUCUCUCUGUGUCCCCCUCUCUUGGUGCUCACUCUCUGCUCUCUCUAUGCCUCUCUGCCACCCCUCUCUGAUCUCCCUCUCAGUGCCCACCCUGCUGCAUCUGCUGGCUCUCUGCCCUCUCCCCAUCCCUGCUCUAUCUCCCUUUUUGCUCUCCAGGCCUCCUGGCUCUCUCCUCAGUUUUUUUGCCUCACUUCCCCCCCUUCCUUUGUCUUUUGCCCUUUAUCCUGGCACCAAUAAAUGAACUCUGUGGCCAGAGGACGAUGAGGAGCGUGGAUGUGUCCAUACCUGAGGUAGCUGACUCUGUGGCCCAAGGGCCUGUGUGUUUUUCCAGAGGUUGCCCACUGCAGGUGGCCUGUCUGGGGUGGGACAACCCAUGGAGCUGAUGGUGGAGAGGAUCUCCAGGGGCACUGGAGGCAGCUGAGUGGUGCUGGCUGGUGCUUGGUAAGUAGGUUUUCGCAGGUGUCCAAGCAGUGGUGAUGAGCAGAGUGCCUGUCUGCAGGGAUUGCAGUGUUGGCCAAGCCUUUUGUUGUUCCUUAAUCCUUCAGGAGACAUGAAAAUAAGGUUGAAUCAACAGCAUGGUGAAGAUAAUUUAAACAGUGGAAGGAGCUGAAAUUGUCUGGAGCAAGGUGACAUUUCAACCUUUCUCAUGUGUGGAACAUUAAUGGGAGGGAACAGCCAGUGAAGGGCAGGACUAACUUUUUUCCCACUGGAAAACCCCAUUUUGAUGCCCCAACUGCUGACUUGGCAGGUGGAAUCUGCUGUGAGCUGGGCUUAGACAAGGAAAGUACAUCCCAAGAGUUAAUGCAGAUUUAUACAGUGAAGGACUUUUCAGUCCUGCUUCCAAAAAAAGCAGAGUUUUCACAAGCUGGAUGUUCCAGGCAGACACUUGGCAGUGGUUUUGAAGAGCAAGGAUGAUGGAGAGUUGGAUCAGAAUAUACACAGAAUAAAGAGCUAUGGUAAAAUAUACACAGAAAAUACACAGAAUAACAGGAAACAACUGCACCUGGGAAGCAGAGGAAACAAGGAGAAGUAAAGGGUGAAAAAGAGGAAAGAAAACCCCACAUGUAAGUGGGUAAAUACUUAGUGAGGCCACAGUAACAACAGGAACAUCCCUGGGAGGAGAAAAAAAUAAAACCACGAAGCAGGUCCUGAUUGCAAGAAUGAAACAACUCAGUGAGGAGGACAUGGAUGAGCUGUGCCCUGCCCUUUCUAAGGAAGAAGAAGAAGAAGAAAACACCACUAAAUACUAAGAAAAAACAUGGAAAAAAAGAAGAUAUCCUACUCCACCCCUGGCUUUCCUCACUCCCCCCUCAUUUCCACACCACACAACCACUGCCCCCCAUGGGCCAGCACUCCCUGUUUGAGACCUCGUGGCUAAUUUAGGCCAAGUUCAGUAAAGAUUAAUUUGUUACCUGUGUGAUGGUGAUGAAUAAAGCCUGAGCCUGGCUGUUAAUGUGUACUGUCAAUGAUUGUCAGUCCAGUAAAGCCUGCUUUAAACCUUCAAA